rnacentral:rRNA from 1 species
AUUGAACGCUGGCGGCAGGCUUAACACAUGCAAGUCGAGCGGAGAUGAGGUGCUUGCACCUUAUCUUAGCGGCGGACGGGUGAGUAAUGCUUAGGAAUCUGCCUAUUAGUGGGGGACAACAUUCCGAAAGGAAUGCUAAUACCGCAUACGUCCUACGGGAGAAAGCAGGGGAUCUUCGGACCUUGCGCUAAUAGAUGAGCCUAAGUCGGAUUAGCUAGUUGGUGGGGUAAAGGCCUACCAAGGCGACGAUCUGUAGCGGGUCUGAGAGGAUGAUCCGCCACACGGGGACUGAGACACGGCCCAGACUACGACGGGAGGCAGCAGUGGGGAAUAUUGGACAAUGGGGGGAACCCUGAUCCAGCCAUGCCGCGUGUGUGAAGAAGGCCUUAUGGUUGUAAAGCACUUUAAGCGAGGAGGAGGCUACUGAGACUAAUACUCUUGGAUAGUGGACGUUACUCGCAGAAUAAGCACCGGCUAACUCUGUGCCAGCCGCCGCCGUAACAC